GAUGAAGAACGCAGCGAAAUGCGAUAAGUAAUGUGAAUUGCAGAAUUCAGUGAAUCAUCGAAUCUUUGAACGCACAUUGCGCCUGCCAGUAUUCUGGCGGGCAUGCCUGUUCGAGCGUCAUUACAACCCUCAGGCCCCCGGGCCUGGCGUUGGGGAUCGGCGGAGCCCCCCGUGGGCACACGCCGUCCCCCAAAUGCAGUGGCGGUCCCGCCGCAGCUUCCAUCGCGUAGUAGCUAACACCUCGCGACUGGAGAGCGGCGCGGCCACGCCGUAAAACACCCAACUCUUCUGAAGUUGACCUCGAAUCAGGUAGGAAUACCCGCUGAACUUAAGCAUAUCAAUAAGCGGAGGA
rnacentral:misc_RNA from 1 species